GGCAGUGUGGGAUAGUGGUUUGAGUGUUGGACUAGGACUCUGGAGACCAGGGUUCAAAUACCCACUCAGCCA